rnacentral:lncRNA from 1 species
UAUGACAUUGAUACCAAAAACAAAACAAUUGUCUCAUAUCUUUUGAAUGACAUAGGACUACAUAGACAUAAGAAAGAAAACUGCUCCUAUUUUCAACUAAAGUUUGUGAAUUACUUGCUGCCCUAUUUUUGGGUAGAAGUUCUUCAUCCAUCAAUUAUGCUACAAAUGGGUUGAGAAUCCAAUUCUAUGCCAUCUUCAUCAUAUGCUUGCUCUUGACAGGCA